rnacentral:rRNA from 1 species
CAAGUCUGGUGCCAGCAGCCGCGGUAAUUCCAGCUCCAAUAGCGUAUAUUAAAAUUGUUGCAGUUAAAACGCUGGUAGUUGAAUUUCAAGGAAUCAAUAUUUUAAGUAAUGCUUUGUAUAUUUAUAACAAAGUUGUACGUUAAGAAUAACCGCCAAGCGUUAUAUUUUUUCUGUUACAUUUUGUUUUAUUAAUAUAUAUAUGCGUUCUUAUUAUAAAAAUGAUUCUUUUUAAAAUUCUUUUGUAUAAUUUUUUAUGCAUGGGAAUUUUGUUACUUUGAGUAAAUUAGAGUGUUCAAAGCAAACAGUUAAAACAGUUUCUGUGUUUGAAUACUACAGCAUGGAAUAACAAAAUUGAACAAGUCAGAAUUUUGUUCUUUUUUCUUAUUUUGGCUUAGUUACGAUUAAUAGGAGUAGCUU